UGAGGAGAGGCAGGAGAAAAUACGGCGCGCUCGGCAUCGUCCUUCUGACCGGGGACUCCAGCAUCUCAGUCAUCGCGUCACCAAGCCCCACGGACUAUGGAAAGACUACAUUUCUCAACCUUCCUAGUAGAUGUGAUGUCACCAGUCGGAAUUGGGCAGAAGAAUGUAUCACUUCAGUCCAAGGCAAUUAAGUGGUCAAACCGUAAGAGACUGGCAGCUUUCAUACUGUUGGAUGCAUGUUUUGGGAUGCCUCCCUCUCAGAAUCUAGCCACCAUGUUCUGAGAAACCUAAGCCAUGUGAAGGGGCCACAUGUAGGUGCUUUGGUUUGCAGCUCCGACCCUCUAGCCAAUAGAUGGCAUCUCCUGCCAGCCAAAUGAGUGAGCCAUCAACAGUAACCUGCCCAGCUGAGUCUUCAGCAACAGCAAUUUAUUUACGGAUUACCUACUCAGUUGGUGCCAAGCCUGGUUCUAGAUGCUGAAGACAGAGCCUAGAUCAAGAU
rnacentral:lncRNA from 1 species